GACGAACGCUGGCGGCGUGCUUAACACAUGCAAGUCGAACGGAAAGGCCUCUUUCGGGGGGUACUCGAGUGGCGAACGGGUGAGUAACACGUGAGUAACCUGCCCUUGACUUUGGGAUAACUUCAGGAAACUGGGGCUAAUACCGGAUAGGAGCUCCUGCUGCAUGGUGGGGGUUGGAAAGUUUCGGCGGUUGGGGAUGGACUCGCGGCUUAUCAGCUUGUUGGUGGGGUAGUGGCUUACCAAGGCGUUGACGGGUAGCCGACCUGAGAGGGUGACCGGCCACAUUGGGACUGAGAUACGGCCCAGACUCCUACGGGAGGCAGCAGUGGGGAAUAUUGCACAAUGGGUGGAAGCCUGAUGCAGCAACGCCGUGUGCGGGAUGACGGCCUUCGGGUUGUAAACCGCUUUCGCUCAUGACGAAGCUUUGUGUGACGGUAGUGGGUAAAGAAGCACCGGCUAACUACGUG
rnacentral:rRNA from 1 species